rnacentral:tRNA from 1 species
UGGUGCAGUAGGUAGCCCAUCAGUCUCGCAAGCUGAAGGUCCUGAGUUUGAUCCUCAG